UUUGCACACACCAAGAUGUUGCUGAAAGAGGUUCUCCAGAACCUGUUCUCCGCUUGAGUCUAGGACAUUUACAUUUGCCUUUAGCACUAAGUCCUCCCCAGCAAGAGGCUCUUCUUCUGAUAAGUAUUUGGGGCUCCUGUGAAUUCCAGCCCCAGGCUGGCUUUUGGCUCCCAUCACAACAAUGCCUCUUCCCCAGCAAGCACCACUACAGUGCUGUUGCAGCUCCUGCUAAGACAUAGGAGGACAAGGAGUCUUUCAUGCAUUUUUUAAUAGAACUUUGCUCCAAGGCUUAGAGCAGAGAUUGGCUCUGGUCCCAACUGGCCCGGGGGGGACAGCUCCCAAGGGAGGGGAGCAGGGGGGAAAGGCACUGCUUCCAGCCCCGUCAUCCCAAAGAUCCAGGAGACCUCCAAAACGCCCUGAAACCCCAGAAACUGAAGGGGGUUCAGGCUCCGAUUCAGACGCGAAUACAAUCCCAACCCCAGAAGAGCUGAGAUCUCCACCCAGCGAGAUCGAAGAGUCGGGACAUCCCGUGGGGACAACGGUUCCUGAUUUUCGAGUCUCGGGGGACGAAGGGGCGGGGGAGGCGGAAGAAUCGGGAAGGGCGGUUCGAGGGGGAUCGAAGGGGGAUGGGGAAACGCUUUCUCGCGGCGGCGCAGCGGCGACGGCGGCGGUUGUGACCGGCGGGGGGGGGCGCGGAAGCGGUGGGGAACACGAGUUUUGGUACGGGUUUUGAGGGACCCACACCGGGGGUGGCGGCCUUGGCGGGCGCCGUGCCGAAGACGCACGCGGGGGGCGAGACACGCGGGACAUCCGGGAAGGGCUCCCAGACCACAGCGUCCACGUCAGACGCGGGGAACAAGCUCGGAGCGGCUGCGGAAUUCCGAGCAGCACCCGUAAGUAGACGUAGGGGACGCAGGGCGGUGACGCAGGACCCAGAAGUCGAGCCGCGGCGGUCCGCUCGCAUCGCGGGGCAAACACGGGCACGAGCGAGGCAAGGACUGUACACACGGGCGGGGGAAUGGACACGGCAUCAGAGAAGGAGGAGAGAGAGUCAGGGACAGACACUGGGCAGGAGACAUCAGAGGAGGAGCGGGAUGGAGACAGUGACGUCAGCCUAGGGGAGACAGGAGACAUUCCCGAGAGAGCGCACGCGCGGAAAAUGCGGAGGGAGCGCAGUCGGGGACGGGUCCGAUCCCCUGUGGCGUCUCGGGCGAGGAGGGGCCGAUCUCGGGGUUCCAUAUCUCCCUCUCCGGUUCUGGUUUCCUCGGUUCCAACCCCUGUGGUUCAGACCUCUCCCAUCUCAGGGCGGUGCUCAGGUGUUCAACCUCCAUUGCUGGCUCAGUCAAAAUCCAUGCAGGCUCGAGUUCCAACAACCACAACUGCUGCAAUCAAUCAAUGCAGCUGAGGAAUAAUACAACUUUAUACAAAUUAAUGUUAUACUAAAUAUGAUAUAGAUAGAAUUCUUCUAUGGUGAAAAAUUAUUCCCAGGCAGACAAAAUGUCAUGUAAAGAUGAAAGUAUUAGUAAAGAUUCAAUUACCCAAGGUGUCCUAAAAGAGCAUUUGGGAAAGGUCAAUCAGAUCCUCUUGUGGAGUCAUCAGUUGAUACCCCAAGAUUCAAAGUUUUAAGAAUUGUUGAUAUUGAAUUUAUAAUCUUUGUUAUUUUUGGGCUUUGUAAGUAAUGCUGAUAAAUGAUUAUUAUUGUUAAUGUUGGAUGAAUGCUUUGGGAAGGUUGUGUUAACUCCUUCAAGCACUUGUUGAUGAGUUGAUUUUGUGGUGUGAGUCUUCAGAUUUUUGUGAUGAGAAUUGUUGUUGGUGUGUUGUAACAUUUGCAGCUGGCUUUCAUGUGUUUUCGUAUCUCCUUGUGCGAUCACCUGCAAGUCAUGUUUUCCUCAGGAUCCUGUCUUUCUUUAUUUCCUAACUACUUAUAAUGUUUCUGAGGGUUUUCUAUCCAGAUUGCCAGUCUUGUGGUUCUUUUAAUUAUUAUUCCAGAAGUAGUCCAGCAGAGAAUUCAAGAAGUUUGUUGUGUUUGGAGAAUCUCUGUCUUGACAGAAACUUCAGAAGGAUUCAAUUAUUUGCUGGUUUGAUUGGUUUGUAGCCCUAAGGUUUCUUGUUUAUAACUGUUGUUUUUAAAAAAGUCUUGUUUAAGAAAUGUGUUAAGUGAUACCCACCAAUUAGAGUUUGGGCUCUGGCCAAGCUCUAGCUCUAUUUGGAUGGAGUGAUUGACAAUCAACCCAGAUGUUUUCUGCAUCAAAUAGUAUUCAAGUCUUUUUGACUUGGCGAUUUGACCAUUUAUGAUAGCUGAGCCAUUUUCAGAGGGAGUUGGGGGAAACAUGAAUCCGGACAUGAUUUCUCCAAUUCUCUGUCGUUUUAAGGUUUAUCAGCUGUCGCAGACUCUGGGAUGAGAGUUCAGUGUUAUAGUGUUUAGUAAUUGUCUGAUCUUGUAUGUGUGGUUGAUUGUAUUAUCUGAAUCUAUUCCUAAUUACUGUUAUCUUACAUUUCUCUAUGUAACAUUGCAAAAUGGAACCAGGACCCAUUCUUCACCUCCAGGAUUUUGAGAAAAUCCUUCAGUCCCUGUGGGGAUGUGGGAUUUGUUUGUGUUUUAACAGGUGCAAAGUCCAGGUCGAUUUCAAUGAAGAAUGUGAAACUCUAUUGAGAGAAAGAAAACAUUGACCAUUCGGCAAGCAGAGAGGACACACAGAUGUGGAUUGCGAAGAGAUUCCAACCUUGUGCUUUAUCCACAGAAGAUUGUGGACUUUGGGCUUUUUUAUGGGUGUGGGAAUCAGUGAUAUAGAGUUUUUGCUAGAUGAUAGUUUUUUACAUUUUAAUGGGACUUGUAAUUCUUCUGCUCUUUUUGGCCAUGCAUUUUUGCAGUGCAUGUGGCAGGCCUUGAAUGAGACUGCCAAAAAGGUGUUUUCUGUGGCAAAGAGAAGGGGGAGAUGUCGGGACCCAGGACAUCUCUGGACGCCCUGGAUGUCUCAAAGCCCUGGCAGGGGCUCAGAGACCCUGGCAGGAAGCCAAAGACACCUGGAAAUUCAAUCUUAAUUCAUGGAGCAAAUUGCCAACCUUAUAUGAAGAACUACAGGCCACAAAAGUUUAAGUAGCAUAGUAGUAGGAAUCACAGGGUGAAGGGAAAAAUUUUGGAGCACUGUACAGGGGGGUUUUGUAUGUUGUACAGGGGGGUUUGAAAUUCUGUACAUGGGGGUCAAGGGUUCUAAGAUGGAGGGAUUUGGGCGUGCCCUGUCCUUCUUCUUUCUUCUCCUUGGCAUCCAUGUUCAGGAUGAUGUUGGCAUGUGUGCAUUGGUUCAUAGAGAAGGUGCACUUGCCAACAAGGGCAGAAAGUAUUGGAAAUUAAAGGUAAAUAUCUAAUACGUAGUUUUCACUAUAAAAGAGACAACCACCCCGUGGGCGGGGGAGAGUGCCCUUGGCUGUCUUGCUGAUCAGACCUCGGCUGGACAGACAGAAAAACUUUGUAGAUAAGGAACAAUAAACUCAACUGAAGACCAAAAAGCAAGAGUCCAGACUCCUUCUUCGAAAGCGCGGCCUGCCCAGAACCACCUUUUCCCGUGCUGGGGCAGAGACAAGUAACAGCUGACCCUGGCAACCAAGGAGUGAAAAAUGUUGAGGUUUUGAGUAAGGGAAAAGAGUCAACUAUUUCCAAUCCUCUGUAGCAAGCAUCAGCGGUGAAGCCUUUUAAACAACCCUGCCUACUGUCAGAAGUGUAUGUGCCAAAGAAGAGAAAACACAAUACAACAUGUCUCCAAAGAUCCGAGUUGGAAAAAAUAAUUCCAGAUAGAACAAAUAAUAUUCUUUAUCUCUUAUCUUGCUAUAUACCACAUGAGUAUGGGGAUGGAUGUUUUGGCAACAUGUUUGUUUUCAGAUUGUCACAAAUACACCCUGUGCCUGGGACAGCCUGAAGUACAUGACUGAUGGCCCUGUUCUUUAAAACAUGAUCAACUUUGUGAAAUCCAUCAAUGGGAGCUACUGUGGCAGAGAAAACAAGGGAGGCUUUUCUUAAAGUGGGUUGUUCACUGCCACUUCAUUCUAGAAUGUUUUACUGCUGGUGGAGCAGAGUACUGUGACAGCUCAUUCCUGCGCCAAGGUAACUUCAGAGUCACACUCAGAAAAUUAACAAUGGAGUACUAAGGACAAACCCAGAAGAAACAAGAUGACAAAUAUCAUGCAAAUAUAAAUCACACAGACACUCAACUACAUAAUGGAUUAAAUCUUUGAUAUUAACUUAUUUAGGAAGCAUAUGUGGGGGCAGGAGCAGUCUGUUAGCAGCACUGGCUGAGACUGCCUGCUGCAACAUUCUCUCCUCACUAUUCUAAGCUAAAACUUUACAGAAUGGGAAAAAUUUUUCAGUCUAAUGAAUUUUUUUUUCUUUUUGGAAAUUUGGCCAUAGCAACUCAAUUGGUGAAACUACAGAAAAUCACCUGUUUUUUUUGUUUUAUUACAAUAACUGGACAACUCUUUGGUUGCUGAACCUGGGUGUUAUGAAUAGAAAGUUGUAUUUUUUUAAGUUUCAGAGUUAAAAAAACCAAGCCAGACCGAGUCAGACUCCUUUAGGUUCCCUGCCGAAGAAAACGCUUAAUCACCAGUUAAUGGCGGGUGAUUAACUGAUUGUUUCCCUGAUGCUGGCCGUAUGCCAAGGAGAUACCAAGGGAAACCCUCCAGGGUAAAGAGAAUAGGCAGUGACACCAGAGACAACAUGCAAAUGAGAAAUGCAGUGCAACCUGGGUUUUUACAGUUUUACAGUUUUUAUAAGAAAAACCCCUAAAAUCACGAGCCAACAAGUGACUUAAAGUGACGUCUAAGGAUGGGAGCAUUGUCCCGUACCUGCUUGAAUCUUUUUAUUUCUCACCCUAACCUGAAAAGAAACUGAUUAAAGAGACCCCCCGGGUUUCUAAACCAACAAACCAAGGACUCAACGACUCUCCCGUGAGGACAGAGUCCCCAGUUCUGUCUGCAGACCAGUGGACAAAGCUGCAUCAUCCUCCUCCUUCGUGCCACGCCUGGGAGCAACGGCGGUGUGGGCGCAACCCGUCGAUUUCUCCCCACCUGAGCUGAUUCUUCUUAAUAAAGGCAUUAAAAAAGGAGAAAGAUCUCCUGCCCAUUUAUUUCAUGGGCUUUCCUUUAGCUUGUCUCCUGAUGUAUUUCUCUGUGCUAGAUCUGCAUUCUCAGGAUUUACAGCCAGGAUGUAGGUUCAUUUUGUACAGAAACCUUCCACCCUAGCAUCACUGUGUUUUGAGUGCUUAACUUGGCCACAUUUGUACUCUGCUGAUGGGAAGGACCUGCCUGCAUAGGAUGGAAGAUCAAGAAAGCCACUAUCUCUGCUAGAACCAGUGACAGGUAGGGGGAAGUGUAAACCACACCCCUUAUUCAGGUAAUACAGCUGAAGCACAGCUCACAAUUAUAAAGGAAGAGCACUUUCCCAAUAAAACCAAGGAUAAGGGAAGGCUGAAAGAUUGCUGAGUCAGUCCGUUAGAGCACAACACAGACUACUCCUUACUUCUGAAAAACUGCAUCCAGUCUGUCAAGACCAAGCAUCACAUGCUGCAGACCAACACAAUGGAAAUGCCACAUGAAUCUAUAGAUACUUCUAGCCUUAAAUAAGGGCUGCUCAUGACAACUGCUGUGAAUGCUUCACUUCAGCAUUCAGGCUUUUACAUUUGUAAGCCCAGCUGCUCUGCUUCCCUGUCUGCUAGACCCUGUCAUUUACAGAAGGAACCAUCAUAGCAUGGGGAACAUAUACAUAUGAAUAACUUCAUCCCUAGGAAGCUAAACCAACAGCUGUAUGGUGUCAGAGAAAGAGUAGAAAUUUCAUCUCCCUUUUUUCCAUUGCUUUAUUAUGGCAAAUGCCAUGGGAUUUCCUAUGAGCUCAAGUCCAAGGAGUGAUCUGUGAGACACAUUAUGAGGACAGCCUUGCAGAAGUGUCUGGAAUCAAAACCCACCUCUGCAAAGGCCCCCCCUAAAAAAGGCACUCACUUUUGGACACUGGGAAAUGCUCUUCUGAAUCUGCAUACAGCCAUGAAACGUGGCCACAUCCCUUGUGCUGCCUGGGGCAAGGAGAAGGAACCAGCUGAACAUCACACUGGGAACCAGGGUAAAGUGAAGUGUACAUAAACCAAGCUACAAGCUGCAAUGGAAGGAGUCACAAGUUACCUCCACAUAUAAGGAACAGAGACGUGGAAAGAUGCAAAAAAGAAAGAGCAAAACACUCAGAGAAAGAAGAGAGGAUCAGGAAUACAAAAAGAGAAGAAAAGGAGAAGAAUCACACAGCAGGAAAAGCAGAUAUUUGAAAAAAAAAAGUUUAGAAAACAGCAGGAUGUUGAAAUCAAGAAGCAAUUAGAACAGUGCUAAAACACCUGGAGACCAGCCCAGAAGUUUUGGCAGCAGGACAGCACCUCAUCAGAAUCUGCAUCAGGAAUGAUGUGAGAACUCAGUACAUCACUCCGGAUGUCCAGAGCUACCGAGACAACCCUUGGGGGGCUCGGGAGCCCUGGAAUGUUGCCAAAAUGCCUGGUGGCUUGACUUUGAUCCUUCUAAAGAAAUUACACCUGAAUGUGAGGAGAUGAGAGAAUUUCAAGUUGGAAUGGUGAGGGGAUGAUAUGCACUAGAUGCAACUUAGUUGAUAAUGCACUGUACAGGGGGGUUUUGUAUGUUGUACAGGGGGGUUUGAAAUUCUGUACAUGGGGGUCAGGAGUUCUAAGAUGGAGGGAUUUGGGCGUGCCCUGUCCUUCUUUCUUCUCCCUGGCAUCCAUGUUCAGGAUGAUGUUGGCAUGUGUGGAUUGGUUCAUGGUGAAGGUACACUUGCCAACAAGGGUGAAAAGUAUUGGAAAUUGAAGGUAAAUAUCUAAUAUGUAGUUUUUACUAUAAAAGAGACAACCACCCCAUGGGUGGGGGAGAGUGCCCUUGGCUGUCUUGCUGAUCAGACCUCGGCUGGACAGACAGAAAAACUUUGUAGCUAAGGAACAAUAAACUCAAGACCGAAAAGCAAGAGUCCAGACUCCUUCUUCAAAGCGUGGCCUGCCCAGAAACACCUUUUCCCGUGUUGGGGCAGAGACAAGUAACAGCCGACCCCAACAGAAUAACUUCUCCACCAGGGCCCCUUUAUUGCUCAAAAUACAACAGUUUUAAAGCUGGAUGAGCAGAAUGUGUUUGGGAGCUUUAUUAAAGGCUUCCAGAGAUGUCCUAUGCAGACAGAAGCUCCCUAAUCCUAAGCAAAAAUUUCAAAGCCUAUUAAUCCUACAGGUAAACUUCAGAGCCUUAUGUGCAGGGUGAUUGAGCAUUUGCCACACCAAGAGAAACAUUCCACAACUCAAAAUGCUUUAUCAGCCCACAGCCCAUGUCUACAUGGACACUAACAUAGUACUGUCAUCUUCCACAGCACCCACAGACAUUUACUUUGGUUAUUUAUUGCUUUAUGAGAAAAUGUGUGAGCUUUGAUGUUGCAGUACAAGCUGACUUGUACUGAACAUUAAUCCAGUUAUAAAUAAGAAACCCAGCCCAGUUCCAUAAACCAGCCUCUAGGCUGACUGAUAGAUGCUUCAACCAAUAACAGCUCUCCUAAAAUACAAGCAUUUUACUGGUUCAGAGGGUGUGGAGUUUAGACCAAUGACUGUUUAGAGCCAGGAGCUUUAAAUUGCCUAUAAAAGUAUGCUCCGUACAAUCAAACAGGCUGUUUGGCUGAUGUACACUGGAUGUCUGUUGUGUGUUCUCUCUGAAACACAUGGCCCCAUGUGUCAGGUGGUGCUCCUGGUGUGAGGACGAACAGUCCAAGGUUUGCCCACGGACAGAGCAGAGAGAGACACAGGGCAGAGCCUGCAAAGCCUGUCCCCACAGUGAAAAGCUGGAAAGAAAGAAGUGGGGAGAGCCCAAAUUUGCAGCAAAGGCUGCAAGAAUUACAGCUGCAGCAAAGGCUGCAGGAAUAAUAACUGCAGCAAAGGCUGCAAGAGUCACAGCCAAAGGGCUAUGUGAAAGAAGAAACCAGAGAAGCUGAAAAUAGAAGAAAAAGCCCACCGAAGAUAUGGGAAAUUUUAUUUCUGCACAGGAUCAGUGUCAUGGUUUGGCCCGGAAGUGUAUUUCUGGAAAAGUCUAGGUCAAACCAAUCAGUGGCCAGAUUUGAAAUCGUCACUUGUGGUGGCCACUGAGGUUUGGAUACACCUCUGAGAACACACAGGGGUUAAAAGCAGGAGAUUCCCAGAGAACUCCCUCUUUGGGAAUCCGGCAUUGGUGAGUGGAGUCUGAACCUCUCCCCUGCCCAGCUGUGCCUGGGUGGGGCAGGGAAGGCCAUGCGGCCUGUGGGGAGGGAGGCCAGGGCCCCAAAAGGUGCAGGGGUGGAGGAGACCGUGCAGGGGUGGAAGAGACUUGGGAUGUCUGGGCAGCCCCCACCCCCGGGAGAGAGUGAUAGAGACUGUGCUGGCAGCACGGCUGGCCAGAAGUGGGGGAUGCGGCGAGAGAAGGUGCCCGGCAGCUGUGGGAGUCCUGGGCAGACAGAGGCGAAGAUUUUAACCCCUUGGUAGAAUAAUGGAAACCUUACAAAUACUGAUCCUCCUGAAUCAGAAUGAGGAGAGAGAGAUGAGAGAUGGAAUAGGCAAGUGUGAAGAAAGCUGGAAGAGGUGAGAAGAAUCCUAGGUGGGAAGAGAUGAUGGAGUGGCCUUGAGCUGGACUCUUUCUUGUAUGGCCAUGGACAGACCCGUGUUUUUUUUCCCUGUGACCCAGAGACUGUAUUUAGGGGGAGGCAAUGCCUUGGAGUCAAGAGUGAAGCAGCGGCGUGAACAGAGAUGGCUGAGGAGGGUGUGGGAUGCCCUCUGUCUCCGUGGAGAGGAAGAUCUCUGUUCACGAGGCCCCUCAGCCCCAGGGGGUGAAAUUUGGGGGGGACUGGUGUCCUGAAGUUGAGAGACUGCUGCUUCUGGAAGUGGGUGGAGCAUCUUUAAACGGGGAACCCUAAAAGCAGUUCUGGUCCAUGUGCAGUGGUGAGAGCACUGGACAUGGCGGGGAGAAGUCACGAGGGCCGAUGUUCUCUGUGCGGGGCCAUGGGUGACACAGAAGCACAGGAGGUUUCAAUUGUGCUUCUAGGGGAAGCCUAUGGUGCAAGGGGGGACUCCUCUCUUCCUGAUGGAUUUGAGGGUUGAUUAUUUGAGGGGUGGUGAAUCUGUAGAGAAAAGGGAGGGGGGAGGAGGAAUGUAUUUGGAGGGUUUUAAUUUCUUAACUUUGUGUGUGUGUUCCUUUUUAGAUAUUGUAAUGAAUAAAGUGUUGUGUUUUUCCCUCCAUCCCCAAGUGGAAGCCUGCUUUGUUCUGUUUCCGGGUCACAUCUCACAGUAACCAUUUUGGAAAUACACCUUUCAUGGGGGCCCUGGCACUGUGCCAGGGUCAAACCAUGACAACCACCCAGUACUAAAGGUAUGGAAACUUCUUCUUGAGGAAUGGGACCUAGACUAUGAUGAAAAAGCAUUAUUAGCAUUAAUAACAUGGGCUAAAACCACGACUAAACGACACAACUAAAGAAGCUGCUUUUGACUUUUAAUACCUGGGCAUGAACUGGUCAAAUUAUAAUCCAACCAGCUUCCGGAGGUGACAAAAACGCAGUAAGAGUUAUAAAGCCGUGGAAACUUAUUUUAUAUUUAAUAAGACUGGAAAUACUGGAGUAUGUGGCGAGGGGGACACCAGACAGCUGAAGUAUUUGUCUCAGUUUGAGCUGUUACCAAGGUUUCCUCAGUUCCCUGUACUUUGCUGGUUUUCCAGCUGGGUAAGGGGAUGAUGCUGCACACACUGCACAUCAAGCUAAGCAAGGCACAACCUUUGGGUUGUACAUCUUUGAAGCUUCAUUGUUGACAAGCAACCGUGCUCAUCCUGAUCAUGGUGCACAGGAAGGGAAUAAACUAGCAGCACUGGAGAGGAGGGAGCUCUGCCCUACUACCCCAGCACAUUCUCACAGACUCAACUCACCUUUGAGAUUUUGGAGAAGAAAAUGAGAUUAAAAGAGAUGUAUCUGGAGGAUACAUGGAGGUGGUUGAACUGAGGAGGAAUAGUCAGUGUUCACGCUUUUGUGCUGCCAGUCACACAGCAUCUAAGAACUGUUUUCCUGCAUAUGCUUGCACAUGGAUGAGAUGGGAAGCAUAAGCCUCUAAAGCUCCCACCUGACCCAUUCCAACCUGGCUACAAGGGAAACUCUGAUGCCAACUGCUUCUUGAGCUGUUUCAGCCAAACUGGACAAAGCCUUCAGUAACAUACUGAUGGCAAAGCCUAUCCCCCUUAUCCUCUUCCUGCUUUCAGAGACCAUCUCCUGCCAUGCUCAGGUCCUAGUUUUGGUAGUAGAUAAGACUUAGCAGUUUCUUGAUGCAAUUUAACUACUGAAAAUAAGAUAUAGCAGCCAUGCUCCACAAUCUACUAGCAGUCCAAAGCUGAAGGAACUGGAUGACAGUGAAUUAUUUUUGUAGCCUAACAAUGGGCUGUAUAGCAUGAGUUAUAUUUUUUUUCCCUAUGUAUUAUACCCACACUUAACUAUCAAGCAAUGGAAAACAGAUUAGCAGGGAGGAGGAGCACAGAUAAUUUCUGUGUCCAGACAGCUGAUGCUAUGGACCUCCUGCUGUGAUCAGUCACUGCCCCCACCUGACCUGUCUCACAUGGCUUAUGACAAUAAUAGACAUCAAGGUUUCUAAGACCCAAACUCUCUCUUUAUACAGGGGCAAUACAAGAGUCCAGGCUUCAUCAGGCAUUGCUGCCCCAGAGAGUUCCUCACCUCUGGUUCGUGAGACAAAGCACGAAGAACAAGGCAGCAUGAAAAAUAAGAAAAGCAAAAGGCUUACCAAAUGGGUCAGUUUCUCCUCCAAGUGAAAUCAAACCUUGGGGCAGCUGUACAAUACUUAGUUUAUUAGGGAUGAUCCAAAAGUUCAACUGACUGUUCUGGCACCUGUCCUGCCUGCUUGCAUGCUCUUACAGCCUCCUUUGACAGAAGCAACUUUUUCUCCCAGCUUUUCUUGACCAAGCUGACAGACCUUUGUAUUCCCUUUGCCAUUCUGAUAACAUUAUCUGCUUUCCUCUAUUUUUUAUUUUUCUUUCUGCAUUUUCUUUUUACAUAUUGAUAUGAAAUAACUCUUCCCUUAACUAAGAUUGGGGAAUGUGUAGAAACAAGCAGACACAUGUUAAUACUAGAAAUUAAUGCCAUUUUUUAAUAGAAAAAUGUUUUGCUUCUUCCAUGGAGUAAUUUUGCAUGUGUCCACAGAAAAAUACUGAGCUGGCUUGUGUGGCACUUCUUUCUUAUACUAUGUUUAAACUUACAAACCCAUAUAAACCCUGGUGAGGUAAUCUUGAGUGUCCUAGAAAGAGAUUAAUAUCAUACCUAAAAAAAUAAACAUGUGGCUCCUGACACUAGCUUCUGUACUCAUAUUCACAAGAGACGCAAUUCCUUUGUAAUGAAAGUUCAUGACCCUAUCCUCAUUCUGUCCUAACUUCUUACUGUGCUCCUUAAGAUUACACCAGUCUACUUUGAGGACACACAGGGCUGUAAUUUAGGCUGGUACUUCCUGACCACCUUGUCAGUCAUGUCAGUCUCAGGCCCCACCAGUGGUGUCCUGAGACAGGUUUGUGCUGGAAUGACAGUGAGGGAGUGAAAAAAAGCAUUUUGUCAAGGGCACAACCAUUAUUCGCUUUCUCUUCUUUUUUUAGCUUCUUUCUGAGGUUUAGGAAGUGGUGAAACAGUGGGGACAGACCAUCAUACAAAGUAAGACUGGGCCUAGAUCUUUGGCUUCUUCUCAAGAGAGCUUAAUAUAGUAAACCUUCACGUUUUGAAGCCUUAAUGUCUUGUGUUCAGGCAAAAUCUAAUCUGCUUACUUGAAAAGAUGAACACAGAAAGUGGAAUACUCCAAGACAGAAUGAGUACUUCUGAACCUGGGUAGCUGCAAACUUUUCUCAGUAUUAAUAAUUCCUAUUUCUGCCAUGCUUGACUAAAGAAAAAAAAAGAAAAACUACAAACUGGGAAAAAUAUUAAAACCAUUUGUCACCACAAAGGCUAUACUACCGAGAGACAAUAUCCUUGGAUGAGGGCAAUAAAGAUUUUUGAAACAAACAAAAAUCUUGCUGUUCACUUUAUAAAUGUAUGACUUUAAUUCAAUAAUCCUUUUCUAUAAAAUAAGUGGUGCAGUUUCUAAGCAGCACAUUAAUGAUUUUCUGAACUGUAUGUGCAAUGAUUCCACCAAAUUCACAGUGGUACCAGGACACUCAGCUCACUCCAGGAUCCCAAGGCCGUUAUGAGCAAGGGUGGUAGUUACAGCCUCAGGCAAUGCUGUUGCUCUGCUUGAGAUGAAAUUAUAUAUGCAUUGGUAGUUUGGCAAGAAAUAAGAGAAGCUGUAUGCCCAUACAUCCUGUCCUUUGGGAUGCUUUCUACAGCAUGCUGCUCACAGUGCUGCUACAGACUUGUAUAUAGGAGAACUGAGUUAAAAUCUAGGAAAAAGUCUACAGUGUAUACCAAAACUAUUAGUUAAUCAUCAGCAAUGACCGCAUUUAGCACAAGCCACACAUGAGCACAAAAGAACAGCUGUAGGUACAAUACCUCCACACAAGCCCAAAAGCAGUGGUAAAACCCAAUGGCUUUUACUGUGCUUGCUCAUAGAGCAAAUUGCAGCCCAGCUAUGCCCAAGCCUGCAACAAUGGGAUGAGGAGCACAGCUGGCAACACAGUAGCCCAGAUCAUGUAGAGGGCAAGGGAGAACAGAGCAGGACUGAGAGCUGCGCAAGGAGAUGUUCAUGAGUUCAAAAAAGCAGAGCAGGAGCCGCCUUGAGUCAGUGUCCUCUUGCAGAAGAUGGUUAGAUA